GAUGAAGAACGUAGCGAAAUGCGAUACUUGGUGUGAAUUGCAGAAUCCCGUGAACCAUCGAGUCUUUGAACGCAAGUUGCGCCCGAAGCCACUAGGCCGAGGGCACGCCUGCCUGGGCGUCACACGUCGUUCCCCCCCCAUCUACUCCUUCGGGAUUGCAGGGGGCGGAUGAUGGCCUCCCGUGCGCCUCGUCGCGCGGUUGGCAUAAAUGCCAAGUCCUCGGCGACGCACGCCACGACAAUCGGUGGUUGCGAAACCUCGGUUGCCCGUCGUGUGCGGUCGUCGCGCAUCGAGGGCUCGAAAAAAUUGUCGGGCUCCGGCUCGGCUUUCAACGCGACCCCAGGUCAGGCGGGGUUACCCGCUGAAUUUAAGCAUAUCAAUAAGCGGAGGA
rnacentral:misc_RNA from 1 species